GCUCAGAUCCGGGAAAGUAACUGCUGAGGAUACACCUUGUCGUUGUCCCAGGUCCAGGCAGAGAUGAGGCGAAGGCUGGUGGAGUGGCAGACACAAGGCCGUCUGAGUCUAGUGAAGAGGCGCAAGCCCGUGUUCACGGAAAACACCAUCAUUUCACAGGGCCAGAAUUACCUUCACACAACACAAUUACAGAAGACCAUAAAGUCCACAUUUCCGCUGCUUUGGCAGUGAAAGAAAAGCAGCUUAUUGGACCUACCCAUCUGGAUUCCAUCAUCUAACUCGCCUUUUGGCUGCAGACAAGACCUCCCCCUGGAUAACCCAAAGGCCACCUGGCGACAGCAGUCUCAACGGGGCAGGUGUGGCCCGACUGAAGAUGCUCACAGGCUGAAUGUUACCCAAGGUUCAAUAGGGUGAGUACGGCCAGUGAAUAUUUACACUCAUUUUGCACAACCCCCUUUUGUUUGCAUCUCCUUACGUAAUGCACAAUCAUCCCACAUAGCUAGCUAAAUAGCUAAUUAGUGAUAAAUAGAAAUUUCUCCACUCAGGUAAUUUUAACGGAAAAUGUUCUGAAGUCAUGCUGGCAAUGAAGUACAGAGCUAGAAAGCCAUAAGACCCAUUUUUCACACACUGCUUCUUGUCUUCUAUGAGCAGACACAUAAUGAUGUGACAACGUAUUAUAUUUUUCCCCAAGAAAAUGAGAAGUAAUGUCAUGGUAUAUACAACAAAAUAACCAUAAUACCUUUUUGUAGGUACAUUUCAAUUGUCUUCUUUUUUCAUGAUACUGGAUUGAUAUGCACUGGGAGUGUGCCACACAUAGAUGUUUUGGGGUGAGGGAGUGAGUUGGGGCCCUCAGGUUGAGGGUGUGGGCAGGGGGUGU
rnacentral:lncRNA from 1 species